CCCUUAGAUGUUCUGGGCCGCACGCGCGCUACACUGAUGCAUUCAACGAGCCUAUCCUUGACCGACAGGUCCGGGUAAUCUUUGAAUCUGCAUCGUGACGGGGAUAGAUUAUUGCAAUUAUUAAUCUUCAACGAGGAAUUCCUAGUAAGCGUGAGUCAUCAGCUCAUGCUGAUUACGUCCCUGCCCUUUGUACACACCGCCCGUCGCUCCUACCGAUUGGGUGAUCCGGUGAGCUAGUCUGACCCUAGUGCUGCAACAUGUUGUGACAUGAGGGAAAGUCUCGCAAACCUUAUCAUUUAGAGGAAGGAGAAGUCGUAACA
rnacentral:rRNA from 1 species